UGGUCAUGGUGUCUCUUCACAGUAAUAA
rnacentral:piRNA from 1 species